UCUGACUUGUUUCCUUCACUGUAAAAUCAGGAGCUUAGCGGGAGAAAUUACUGACCGGGAGCAUUGCGGGAGAUAGGGUUAAAAAUCGGGAGUCUCCCGCGUGAAUCGGGAGAGUUGGCAUGUAUGCAUUUACUGAAACAC